AAGAAUUGGGUUCACUUUAUUAAUAUCCUGUAUUGUAUGGAUAAUUACAUGAAUAAAAGAAAGAAAGAAGAAAAGAAUGUAUUUUCUGCAUUAUUUAUAAAAAUAACCACCAAAACAAUCAAAAAGACCAUAAAAUCUACUUAUUCUUGUGCCUGAAUUCUACAAAACUUCCACACACACACAUAUAUAUGUCGCGAUUUGGCUCGUCAUAACAACAACAAAUACCAUCAAAAUAAUCAAAAACGCGCCCGUUUUUUAAAAAUUCAUAUUUAAAACUGAGCGACAACUUAGAAAAAAUCAAAUAUUUUUG
rnacentral:lncRNA from 1 species